rnacentral:rRNA from 1 species
CCUACGGGAGGCAGCAGUGGGGAAUCUUGGUCAAUGGACGAGAGUCUGAACCAGCCAAGUAGCGUGGAUGAUGAAUGCCCUAUGGGUUGUAAACUUCGUUUAUAAAGGAAUAAGACGAUGCGCGUAUGCCUUUUUGCAUGUACUUUAUGUAUAAAGAUCGGCUAACUCCGUGCCGGCAGCCGCGGUAAUACGGAGGAUCCGAGCGUUAUCCGGAUUUAUUGGGUUUAAAGGGAGCGUAGAUGGGUUGUUAAGUCAGUUGUGAAAGUUUGCGGCUCAACCGUAAAAUUGCAAUUGAUACUGGCAGUCUUGAGUACAGUUGAGGUAGGCGGAAUUCGUGGUGUAGCGGUGAAAUGCUUAGAUAUCACGAAGAACCCCGAUUGCGAAGGCAGCUUACUAAACUGUGACUGACAUUGAUGCUCGAAAGUGUGGGUAUCAAACAGGAUUAGAUACCCUUGUAGUC